rnacentral:rRNA from 1 species
GUGCUCGCCGGAGAGAUCCGGUUUUCCCGCAAGGGACGCAGAGACAGGUGCUGCAUGGCUGUCGUCAGCUCGUGUCGUGAGAUGUUGGGUUAAGUCCCGCAACGAGCGCAACCCUCGCCUUUAGUUGCCAUCAUUAAGUUGGGCACUCUAGAGGGACCGCCGGCGACAAGCCGGAGGAAGGUGGGGAUGACGUCAAGUCCUCAUGGCCCUUACACCCUGGGCUACACACGUGCUACAAUGGCGGUGACAGUGGGCAGCCAACUCGCGAGAGUGAGCUAAUCCCAAAAAACCGUCCCAGUUCAGAUUGCACUCUGCAACUCGGGUGCAUGAAGGUGGAAUCGCUAGUAAUCGCAGAACAGCAGGCUGCGGUGAAUACGUUCCCGGGCCUUGUACACACCGCCCGUCACACCAUGGGAGUUGGCUCUACCCGAAGACGGUGCGCUAACCUCGCAAGAGGAGGCAGCCGGCCACGGUCGGGUCAGCGACUGGGGUGAAGUCGUAACAAGGUAAGCGUAGUGCU